CUCCCACUAAUCUACACAUUCAGAGGAUUGUGGAUAUAAGAGGCUGGGAGGCCAGCUUAGCAACCAGAGCUGGAGGCUGAUGCGAGCUUCAUCUCUUCCCUCAGGAAAGAUUCAACUGGCCAGCAUGUCCACGAAUUUUUCCUGUUCCCCAAACAUUCCUUCCUUUUCUGGCUUCCUUUUUGUUCUGCUGACCAUCCUUCUUUACGACUGUUCACCCCACAGAGUGUUUAAGAAGACUAGCUCCAAUGGGAAGUUUUCCAUCUACCUGGGGAAACGAGACUUCGUGGAUGAUGUGGACACUGUGGAGCCCAUUGAUGGAGUCGUCCUUGUUGACCCCGAGUACUUAGAAGGUCGAAAGUCAGUGUUUGUCAGGUUGACCUGUGCUUUUCGCUAUGGCCGUGAUGACUUGGAUGUGAUUGGUCUGACAUUUCGCAAAGAUCUCUAUGUACAAACCAAGCAAGUGGCUCCAGCUGAACCCACCAGCAUCCAGGGCCCCCUCACAGCCUUACAGGAGCGGCUUCUGCACAAGCUCGGGGUCAAUGCCUAUCCUUUUACACUUCAGAUGGUUGCUAACCUGCCCUGUUCAGUAACACUGCAGCCUGGGCCUGAAGAUUCAGGAAAGCCCUGUGGGGUUGACUUUGAAGUGAAGAGUUUCUGUGCAGAAAAUCUGGAAGAGAAAAUCCCUAAGAGUGAUUCUGUGCAGCUGGUUGUACGGAAAGUGCAGUUUUCAGCCCUGGAACCCGGCCCUGGUCCUUCGGCACAGACCAUUCGAAGCUUCUUUUUGUCAUCUCAGCCCCUACAACUGCAGGCCUGGAUGGACAGGGAGGUUCAUUACCAUGGAGAAGCUAUUUCUGUACAUGUUUCUAUCAACAACUAUACCAACAAGGUCAUCAGAAGAAUCAAGAUUGCAGUUGUCCAGACCACAGAUGUUGUCCUGUAUUCACUAGACAAGUACACGAAGACUGUGUUUGUUCAGGAGUUCACGUGAGCUGGGGCUGGGGCUGGGGCUGGGGAGAAAGUCAAAGGGGUUAGAUGGUGGGAAGAAGGCCAACAGACAGAGAAGGGAUCCUUGCUAUUUCUUUUGGAAAAGAAGAAAUAGCAAGGAUAACUAAGAGAUGAGGAAUGUCAAGGUGAGGGUUGAAGCCCACAAGGGGAGGGACUCUCAGGAGAACUAUGGGUGGGGCUAUGACUCAUCAGAAGAAGACCGAGACAAAGCUAGGGCAGAGCUUUCCCACCAGAGCUCAUUUUCCCAUUCUCCAAAGAUAUGCCACUUCUCUGUAUAUUUUCCACUGGUUCUUGAGACUAUGUGAGAUACUCUUGGGAGUAAAAGUACAUUUAGUUGGCCAGCAUGGCCUAAGUUCCUCUCUUGUUCUCUUUCAAAGAGAGACAGUAGCUGCUAACUCCAGCUUCUCCCAGACCUUUGCAGUAACCCCACUCCUGGCUGCCAACUGUCAGAAGCAGGGCCUGGCACUGGAUGGCAAACUCAAGCAUGAAGACACCAAUCUGGCCUCUAGCACAAUGUAAGCUCAUAUGUAAUUUAGAAUUUCUCCUUCCUACUCCUAAGCCACAUGCUAUACACACGGCUGUAAGGUUUCAUCUUCAGUCAAGCCGACUUGUCCUUUAAAAUGUUCCUCAGCCAGGGUUCAGUGUGCUCACAAGUCUCAGAGCCAGGCUCAAGUUAAAUUAAUGCCUAUGGGGCCAAUAGUAAGUUUAGGCUUUAGGUAAUGAGAAAGGAAAAUGCAGAGAACAGAAAACCUCUGUUAUAUAAAAUCUCACAGUGCAAACCAGGCAUGGGAGUGGGGUGGGGGGAUGCACGCUUGUAAUCCGAGCACUUAGUGGUCAGCACUGAGGUAGGGGAAUCACAAGUUUGAGGCCUGCUUAGGCUAUGCAGCAAGACCCUGCCAAGAAAAAAAAAAAGAGAGAGACAAACAGGGCACCUGCUGUUAAGCCGAGUUUGAGUCCUCAGAACACAUCUGGGGAAGGAAAGAACCAAUUCCUCUCUGCUUUCCACAUGUUCACCAUGGGCCCCCCACCCCCACACAUGUGCAGGAGUACAACAUGGAUGAACGAAAAUGCAAGGAUAAAAAAAAAUUAUAAACAAGACACAAUUCACAGAGGUCUUACAUCUAUUAUUAUAUUCCUAAGAAUAUCUCCAGGCAGUGGUGGCACAUGCCUUUAAUCCCAGCACUUGGGAGACAGAGGCAAGUGGAUCUCUGUGAGACUGUAUAGUCUACAUAUCCAGGACCAGUACAGCCAGGGCUAUACUGGGAAACUCUGACUUGAAGAAAAAAAAAGAAAGAUAGAAAGAAAAAGAAAAGAGAAAAGAGAGAAUACCAUUAAAGUACACUGGCCAGGUGGGUGGGUUUGUUGUUGUUUCUAAGAUUCAGAGGAUGAACUCAGGGCCUGUGCCCCCAACCCUGGUGAUACAUUAUUCAAUUUUACACAUGAGGACUCUGAGGCUCAGAGGCAAGGGAUUUGUUCAAGGUUGCAUAAGUAUGUGACAAACAGGAUUCUACUAUAUGCCAACUGGCUCUAAACACUGUGAUCUCUACAAUAGUUACUAUCUAGAGAAAGUAGAAUAGAGUAGAAGGUUAGGCAAUGAGAGAUGGUGGAAAGAGAGGAUGUGUAAUGACAAUUAUAUGGCAGGAAUUGAUAAAAUUCUUCCAUGGCAUUCAUUUGGCUCUAUGCCUUUAGAUUAGCAUUAAAUGGGUUUCUCACCAAAGCCAUUUGUCUACCAUCUACAAUCAUAAAUGACCAAUCCUCCCCCACCAAAGCCAUUUGUCUACCAUCUACAAUCAUAAAUAACCAAUUCUCCCCGCACCUGAUGAGUCAAGUAUCUACGGGUGUUAUUCAUAGAAACAGCUUUAGAAAUUAUCCAAAUAGUGUUAUUUUGGAGAAAGGGGAUCAGCACCCCCAAAGCAACCAAAGACUACCCUAAGAUCCUUCUAGCUUUCCGUAUCUUAUUUUUUAAACAGUAGGUUUCUCUUGAGCACCUAUUAAAUUCUCACUCCUCUGUAAUAUGAUGGGGAUAUACAAAGACUUUUAAGACAAUCUUUUCCUUCAGUCAAUAUAUGACCUGGAUGAGGAACAGAGAGGAAUGCAAAUGUAAUCCAACAGUUAAUUGUUGGUGCACCUGUUUUAUAUUACGAGUCCAAUAGAAGUUAAAGGCCAAAAUAGCUGGCAAGGGAUUCUUCGAGGAGAUAAGGAUGAUCUAGAUCUUGAAAAAAAAAAACUGUGUAAAAUCUGGAUACCAAUAGUAGAAGAAAGGAACAUUUCAGACUGGGAACAUGGCAUGAGAAGAAGCUGGAAGGCAGGAAUCCCACACGGUACUUUGAGGAGCACAGUGGGAAGACAGGUCUGCAGAGGCUGUUUUCUAGGUGUUUGGGAGUCAGGGCAGAAAAGAGAGAUGUAGAUGAAGCUAGAUUGCUUCGGCUUCUAAAAGCCAAGCAGAGUAGUUAUGUUCAAAAAUUAGGCCUUCAAAUAGAUAGUAACAUGAUCAAGUGGAAUUUUAGGAAGAAAAAUGUCACCUCAAUUGGGUAGAAACAAUUACAGCCUGGGAUAUCUUUUGGGAAAAGCCAAAGGCAAUGGGGACAUGAUAACAGGAAAGCAUGGGAAGGAUUUGGGGGGAGGUAAAUUCAAUUAUACUCCUAACACCCCCCAAUUGAUGCUAUAAUGUCAAGUCUUCGACCUGGAAUGAACAAGGAGCUUCUGGGGAUCCUGGUGUCCUACAAAGUUAGAGUCAACUUGGUGGUGUCCUAUGGGGGGUAAGUGAGGAUUUCCAGUUGGUCUGGGCAGGGGCUGGAAGCCAAGAGUUUCUCGCUUGUCCCCCCCCCCCACUGGAUUGACCAUUCAAGGUAUUCCUCUUUUUCCAAACUAAGUUCACAAGUCUCUUUCCCUGCUUAAGUUCCAUUCUGUUACUAAGUUGGCCUGGUGGUACCUUAUCCGCAGCCAAACUGGGUUGACUCCUCCCCAUUUUUAGCUACUAAUUUGGGAUGUCAUUUUAUUCACAGCAUUCUAGGAGGUCUGCCAGCCAGGUGAGAAGCUAGGGUGAGAGGACCAAGGCAGGACAGGGAGGAAGAGGGCAUAAGGAGACUAAAGGUCCCCUCAGAAGAACCCAAGGGCCUCUGGGGAUUGGGAAAACUGAAGGAAGGUCGGUGAUUGAGUCCUUUAAGGACAUCAGUAACUCCACUUUGGGAUGCUUGCAGUGAUGUUGGUGUGGAGCUGCCCGUGAUCUUGAUCCAUCCAAAGCCAUCUCCUGGGGAGAGAGCAGUGGCUACCAGGUAAGUCAGCAUGAGGCCUGGAAGCUCCACCCUGCCCCCUUGCCUACUGCUGUUUUAGGAUGCAAAUUUUAAAAGCUUCCUCAAAGUGUUGCUUUCAGGACUGUGCACCAGAAACAUGGUUUAGCUUCAUGUCAGUCUGGUGUUUUCCAAGCCCUCUUUCCCUGCCUCCCUGCCCGUCACCUGCUGCUCUUUUUGGAAUUCUUCUUCUCCCUCCUCCCUUCCAUUUUUCCCCCUCUUCUCUUCCCUCCCAAAACCCAUUCUGUUGCUAAGUUGUCCUUGUGAUCCCUCACUCCCUGGCAAAACUGGGUUGGUUGCCCCGUCUCUGUGACUUGUGCCCCCCCCCACCUUUUCCGCAUCACCCUCAUCUUUUUUUUUAAUCCUUUCCCUCUGCCCCAUCCUCUGUUGUUGUUUCCCUUCUGAUGCUCCUUGGUCCUUGGCACCAUUAUCUAGACAGAUUCCGAAGGGAAACACGCCCUCCCCAUGGGGCAUGGAGGGGAAGGCUGAGAAGCAGGGAAGGGAUUACCUCUCUAGACUCAAGAACGUGGCAGAAGCCCAGGAAGGGGGUUGAUAACUCUCCAUUCCCCUUUGCUGCUCCUGAAAGCUCGGAGGACAUAGUCAUCGAAGAGUUUAUGCAGCACAACAGCCAGACACAGAGCUAGAAAGCUCCAACAGCAGACAGAGUUAAGAGGAUCCGAUAGCCUAUCUCUGAUAAUUCUGUGUGGAAGCCCCCACUGCAACACUCUAAUAAAUCAUUUUGUCCAGACA